GAUGAACGCUGGCGGCGUGCCUAAUACAUGCAAGUCGAGCGAACAGAUGAGGAGCUUGCUCCUCUGACGUUAGCGGCGGACGGGUGAGUAACACGUGGAUAACCUACCUAUAAGACUGGGAUAACUUCGGGAAACCGGAGCUAAUACCGGAUAAUAUAUUGAACCGCAUGGUUCAAUAGUGAAAGACGGUUUUGCUGUCACUUAUAGAUGGAUCCGCGCCGCAUUAGCUAGUUGGUAAGGUAACGGCUUACCAAGGCAACGAUGCGUAGCCGACCUGAGAGGAUGAUCGGCCACACUGGAACUGAGACACGGUCCAGACUCCUACGGGAGGCAGCAGUAGGGAAUCUUCCGCAAAGGGCGAAAGCCUGACGGAGCAACGCCGCGUGAGUGAUGAAGGUCUUCGGAUCGUAAAACUCUGUUAUUAGGGAAGAACAAAUGUGUAAGUAACUAUGCACGUCUUGACGGUACCUAAUCAGAAAGCCACGGCUAACUACGUG
rnacentral:rRNA from 1 species